rnacentral:rRNA from 1 species
UUGGGCGUAAGAGCUCGUAGGCGGUUUGUCACGUCUGCUGUGAAAUCCCGAGGCUCAACCUCGGGCUUGCAGUGGGUACGGGCAGACUAGAGUGCGGUAGGGGAGAUUGGAAUUCCUGGUGUAGCGGUGGAAUGCGCAGAUAUCAGGAGGAACACCGAUGGCGAAGGCAGAUCUCUGGGCCGUAACUGACGCUGAGGAGCGAAAGCAUGGGGAGCAAACAGGCUUAGAUACCCUGGUAGUCCAUGCCGUAAACGUUGGGAACUAGAUGUGGGGACCAUUCCACGGUCUCCGUGUCGUAGCUAACGCAUUAAGUUCCCCGCCUGGGGAGUACGGCCGCAAGGCUAAAACUCAAAGGAAUUGACGGGGGCCCGCACAAGCGGCGGAGCAUGCGGAUUAAUUCGAUGCAACGCGAAGAACCUUACCAAGGCUUGACAUAUACGAGAACGCACUGGAGACAGUGAACUCUUUGGACACUCGUAUACAGGUGGUGCAUGGUUGUCGUCAGCUCGUGUCGUGAGAUGUUGGGUUAAGUCCCGCAACGAGCGCAACCCUCGUCCUAUGUUGCCAGCACGUAAUGGUGGGAACUCAUGGGAUACUGCCGGGGUCAACUCGGAGGAAGGUGGGGAUGAGGUCAAAUCAUCAUGCCCCUUAUGUCUUGGGCUUCACGCAUGCUACAAUGGCCAGUACAAUGGGCUGCGAUACCGUAAGGUGGAGCGAAUCCCAAAAAGCUGGUCUCAGUUCGGAUUGAGGUCUGCAACUCGACCUCAUGAAGUCGGAGUCGCUAGUAAUCGUAGAUCAGCAACGCUACGGUGAAUACGUUCCC